UGAAGGUUCCCCAAAAUCACCUCACCAGUAUGGGAAUUAUCUCACAAGAAACCCAUGAGGCAGCAAGGGCUUCACUACAAUCCUGUUGUGUUUCUUUUCAGACAAACAUCUUUAAAAGUAGUUCUAUACAGUAGAUGAGUGCUUUGAAGGGCCUUAUGUUAAUAAGUUGUAGAAGACUGUGGGAACAUUUUGUUUGCAAAAGAAAAGGAAAAUGAGGAAGAACAGAGGGUAGUGGCACUGUAGAAAAGGAGAGAGGGAGAGACCGAGAGAGAGGUGCUCUACACAUCAUCCACAGCUGACACAGACAGUUUCAUCCUCCAACCUUUGCUCAACGCUACACACAGACUGGACUAAGGGCUCCUACUCCCUCCAGAAGACUAUGGCCUCAACUGCUUUUUUUAAAGGCACAGGCCUCCUGCUCUUCUUACUACUGGGACUGCAGCCAUCGUCAUUUGUUUCAGGACAAAACACAACCUCGAGUUCCAAUACAACGACCGAUGCUACAACCACGGUGGCUGCAACAAUUGUGUUGUCAACUGACAUGAGUACUGUCUCUGCAACAGCUACGAUGACAGUUACCACAGCUCAAGCUACAAUGUCGUCUGCCAUUUCUUCUACGAAUGCUGCAAUGUCAUCUGCAGGGUUGGCAACUACGAUGGCAGCUACGAGGGUUCAAGGUGCUGCUAAUACGGCAACCUCCAAUUCGUCCAGUGUAGGUUCAAUGACAACAGCCAUGACCUCCACUUCAAGAAGUGUAACCAUUGACAACUCAAGGAAUACAGUGGCGGGUAGUGGAACCCCAAGCACGGACAAUACUACCUCAUGGGGCACCAGUGGCAUGACCAUGAUAUCCUGUCGCCAGUUCUCCUGUAACUACUCAGACUGCUACGAUGUGUACAUGAAUAGGACUUCUGUUUCAUGCAACGCUAAUAUCACCUUCUGUGAGCUGAAGAGACAGGAAGACAUGACUUACACCGGCGGCUGCAGUUCCUCCUGCAGGAAUGCCUGUGUCAAUAACACUCAGACCAACUGUACCACGGGAUGCUGCAACUCCACUGGCUGUCUUCGCUCCACCCUGGCCUCCAUGGUUCGCCCAAACACUACAACAGUGACUACAGUGAUGAUGACCACCACCACAACAACAGCAGCAGCCACCACUACAACUGCUAUGCCAACCAAUAAACUUAAGAAGUGCCAGAUGUUUCAGUGCACAGAGCAGAACUGUUACAAGACUUGGAUAACCAAAGACCCAAUGCCUUGUCCCCUCAACCAGCCCUACUGUGAGUUGAAAAAGAUGACAAUUGGUUCAACAACGAUGUGGAUGGGAGGCUGCAAUGCCGACUGCACAAGAAACACUUGGUGUACGACCACAACAGGUACAUGCCACCAAGAGUGCUGCAACACCUCCAUAACAUCCUGCCUCAAGCUGGAUGGGUCUCUGAACGUUCCUUCUUCUGCCACUAGAGGUCCUCACUUCCCUUUAGCAUUGAUCACUGCUGCUCUGCUGGUUUGUCUACUCAGCAUUGGUUCUCUGGUUUAAACUGGGUCGUGUUCAGUGGGUACAAGCGGAAGAAAAUGUAUUGAAAGAGGGAGGAAAUACCUUGACUUGUCCCUUGCAAAAUGGUUUAAAACAUUGCCUGUUGUGUGACUUAAUGAACAACCCUGAUGUGUUGACCCACUGAGCCAUUGCUUGAAUUUAAACAGUAGCAGUAGUAGUUAGCACGGCAAAACCUGGUUUCCAUUCCACAUGAAUACUAUACUGGUUGUAGGUCUAGCUUACUCUGUUUUUGUUUGUUUGCUUGUAUAUGAGGGGUAUUGAGAUACUGUAUGUGAGGGCUCAUAUGUGCUUUUGAGAGAUUUAGGUGAUUUAAUAAGUGAUAAUGAUUCCCCUAUGUGAGUCCAAACCAAAUGGGUUUAAAGGGAUUUAUUGAAGAAUAUGACGAUUAAUAUGGCUACAGAAAGCUAUUCAACCAUACCAUCAUACCCAUUUAUAAAUCAGUACUAUGUAAAACAUAAUACACAGAAGAUAGCUAUUUACGAUCAUAGAUGAGUGACCUAAUGUAUGGUACGGUAAUUAAUUCUGCUUUUUCUUAUUGAGAUUUCUGUAAGAUGAAGUUUCCAAUUAUGACAUUUUCAUAAAUAUCCUAUUUUUUUAGGCACAUUUUCUUUUGCCAGUGAUUUGCAUGAUGACUUCCAUGUUUUCUUAGAUUUUUCACUUGCAAAGACCUAGCCUGGUCUCAGAUCUGGUUGUGCUCUUGCUAACUCAAUUGCUCAUUGACAAACCAAAAAUGCCCAGUACAAGGAGUUGGCAUGAUAGCACAAACAGACUGGCACUCAGGCUAAAGACUUUCUCCAAUACAAAAGCAAACAUCUUUACAGAUAUUGCAUAAUAACUCAGUUAUUACCUAGUCCUCGCUAGCAUGUUGUGAAAGACAGAUUGACAAUUUAUGCACUUUUUAAAACAUAUAUAUUGGGUUAUAGAAGGUUUUUGAAAUAUUUGUACUGACGCAUUGAGGUGUAAUUCAUAUCUGUGAACGUAGUCAUAAACUGUACAACUGGAAUAUGUGUUUUACGCCUUUUAUUAUUUAGCUGUAUUCAUACUUAUAAUUUACCAUCAUAACAAUGUGGAAAUUGAUUCUUAAAAAUGGGUUAUAAAAUUGAGUUAUCAAAAUGUCUAAGCGUAUAUUUUUUGCAGUAGUUUCUUCGAAAGUUGGCAUACAACACCUGAUAUGUCAUAUCUAAUAUUUGGAGAAAAGUUACUAAAAUAAAUGUGUCAUGUCGGAUGCGUUCUACAUUGUGCAUAGUGUACAAACUGUAACAACUGCUUUUAAAGUCAUAUGAAUUAAAUAAAUCAAAUCAAAUGUUUUUAUAUAGCCCUUCUGACAUCAGCUGAUAUCUCAAAGUGCUGUACAGAAACCCAGCCGAAAACCCCAAACAGCAAGCAAUGCAGGUGUAGAAGCACGGCGGCUAGGAAAAACUCCCUAGAAAGGCCAACACCUAGGAAGAAAUGUUUGACCAAAACAAAAGAUGAAUAUUUUAUUUUAAAUCAUCUGCAGAGCUCACCUGUUAAGAGAUUGAUGUAACUGUACUUGAAUCAACUAGACUUCUAUACCGAAUACUGCAUCAAAAUAAACAUUAUCUACAAGAGAACCGGCCAGGUCCUUGUAGACUCGCUCUUAUUUAGUAAUUGUACCUUAUAAAGCAUUAGCCAUUCAGAAUUCAUACAUAAAUUAAAAACAUUUAAAUGACAAAACAUUGUAUUCCGUGCCUCUAUGCACCAUUCAUUAGAAUUUGAUUACCAUGGAGAUGGCUGUUAAAACCACAUAGAAAUAUUUUUUUUGUAGCUGUGGCUAAAACCAUAGAUAUAGAACACGAUUGGUAUAUUGCCUAUGGCUAAAGCAAUAUUGUUGAAAUAUCAUUACAAUUGUAAAGGUUGCAUGAUCUUACCAGAAUAAAGGUCAUGUCAAAUUCAAACAUUAUCACCAAAAGACAAUUUAUCACAAUUAAUUCAGAACAGACAUCUUGCUCAUACAGUGCAGAUGGAUGACUAUGGAUGCAACUAUGAAUGCAAAUGAUCACCCAUCCUUUUCAACACCAGGCUUGGGUCCCAAUAGGACCCCUGGAGAUCAUGUUAAGUUCAUUGAUGACUCCAUUCCCUCCAACCCUGGUGUUGAUGAGGAUGACAAUGUGAUCCAUUCAACCAACUUUGUGAACCACUUCUCAGGUAAGAGCUAAGAAAAAUAUUUUUUUUAAACACCUCUACCAUAGAGAUCUUUGCUGAACUUUGAAUAUUGGUAAAUUAUUUUUUCCAAUAGGUUGCAUCAUUUUAUUUUGAUUCAUGACAUAUCAGUACCCCUGAAGAUUUGGUUCAGUUUGUUGCAUAAUCAAUUGUUGAUGAGGAUGUCAAUUAUGUGGUCAUCUGCUUGGGAGAGUUAUGGGUCAACUGCCUUCCUGGACAUGUCUCAGGACAGCUUGUCCAAUGGAGCCCAGUCCUCUCAGUCCAAAAGACAUUGACUACCUAACAGCUAGGAGUUCCAUCUAUGUCCAGUUGAUCUAAUUUGCUAUUGGAUUGGUGUUACGCACGACCUCUAGGAAGAGGGAACGCAACACCCUGCUACAACUCAACUCCCCGUGGAGUGAAAGAGGUAUGGGACUGUAGGUGCAAGUAAGGAUGACAAAGGCAGAGAAUUAACCUUUUACAGGGAAUUUAUUCAGUCACACAGCAAUUUUGGAAAAAGGGGCUGGACGGAACCAAAGCAGAGAAAGUUAAAGUUCCCCCUCUCCUACUUUACCUACUCACAACUUACCUAACAAGCACCACCUGGCGCACUAACCAAAAUACAGGGGAUGGUCCAGACGGGUCUUACCUAGUGUGCAUAGACAAAGUACAUACUCGGGUAUAUUUAUGCCCGCAGGUCACUUGCCUAAGCACUCUCUUCCCCCCUGGGAACAAAUUAAAACGAAUACAAACAUAAGUAAACCAUUUCAAUAAACAAAAACACUGCGUCCUAUGGGGACCUGUCUCUGAGCAACAACCAACACAGGACAUAACCAUCAGCUCUCUCUCCUAACAAACGAACACUGGCUUUUAAAGCUUCAGAAGGAGUCGAUAAUUGAAGACAGCUGUAUCUCCUGAUUAGAGGGUGGGGUCAGAUCUCCAAUCAUUGAUGGGGCUGACCAAUCAGCUGCUUAGAAUUUCCGGAAGCCAUCCUGAAACACACACAUCCAAACAAAACCACAACACAGAAACUGGGGCACAUAACAAUUUGUUUGUUUCAGUGUGUUGUUCCACUCUCUUUACCAUCUGACACUUUGUCCCUGUUGAUCCACAUACCUACCCUGCUUCUGGAGACCCGGGGAGUCUCCUGACCAGAGGGCUUUGACUCCCCAGGAACGUCUUCACCACUCUGGGUUGUCCCAAUCCUGUUGGUCUGAGACCACUGAUGUCUACUCUCUUAAUAGGAACGAGGAGCUCUAAAGUAGCUGAAACCACCUCUCGGAUUGGGUAUUGCCUCACUUGAAAGCCUGGAGCCAAUCGUUCCAGUCUGGUUAUAAUCACUAUGACAACCCUGGCUACCUGUCAGUUACGAGUUCUACCUCUGUCUCGUGUGCUAGUUUGCCUAAUUUGUCUAAUUUGCUUGAUUUUGCAUUGGAUUGGUUUGUUUGAGUAUUGUUUCACUCUCUUUACCAUCUGUCACGUUAUCCUUGUUGAUCCACAAAGUCACCCUGUGUCUGGACUCCUGACUCCAGCAGAGCAGGGAGCCCCAAGCAGUCCAACAGCUCCAGGGAGACUCUUAACCAGAGGACUUGGACUCCCCAGGACUGUCCCCAUUGCUUUUUAACUCCUGAGGAUGAUGUGUUGUACUAGUUAAAUAAAAUGUAACAUGUGAACAACCACCAGGUUCUUCCUGGAGUCCCGGGACAUUCCCUGCCGCUCUGCAACUCAUGUGGACAAUGAAGAGGGUAUGUACAUUACAACAACAACCACUCCAUCCUAGACUCUGAGGAUAUUUCCCGAUACUCUGGCUCCACCCACAGCAAGCAUUCUGAGACAGCCACCUCAAAUGUAUGCUCUACUAUUACAGGUAGCCUAGUGGUUAGAGCAUUGGGCCAGUAACCAAAAGGUUGUUUUAUCAAAUCCCUGAGCUGACAAGGUAAAAAUCUGUUGUUCUGCCCCUGAACAAGGCAGUUAACCCACUCUUCCUAGGCCACCAUUGUAAAUAAGAAUUUGUUCUUAACUGACUUGCCUAGUUGAAUUAAAUAAAAAAUAUUACUUAGGAGGAACUAUGAAAUAUGUGGAUCUCAGAUGUACGUAUGCUCUGCAUUCACUAAGGAGGACCUCUGGAACACAGAUACACGUAAGGGCUCUUAGGGUGUAGCGUAGUAUGAUUUCAUUCAUUAUAGUGUAUUGCAUCUUUAGGAUGCCCAGCCCACAUAUGCUUAUAAGACUCUGCAAAUGAAAAAAUAAAAUCAUAUAUGCAAACAAAUAGGCCACACACUGUCCAUUCACUUAUAGUACUAUUUUAUUUUUAUUUUUUAUUUUUUUGCUUCUCCAGUUGAGAUCUCUGCAUUCCUACAAGAGACUGAGAGUUGAGUCUCAGUCCAACAAUAGGAAGAGGUGCCACUGCCUGGGGUGUGACGCAGAGGACUGGCCUGCCAGGAAGAGAGCCAGGAAUGAAUGUCCAAUUGGCUCUCAUGGGGCCAUGAGGCACAUUAAUAGAACACAAAAUAGGCACCAGUAUAGAGCUGGAUCACAGUACAACAAGACAUUCAUAAUAAAAUAUUGUGACAUUUUUUCCCUUAGAUUUCUGCCUGAGAAAUGCCAUCCAAUACAAUAACUACAACACUUCAAUCCAAUGCAGGAUUAUCUUAAUAAAAAGGUCAAUGUUUUUUCUAUUAAACUACAAAAAUGAUUUUUGACUAGGCAUGACUACACAAUACUGUCCAAAUGAUAUAAUAAUGUAUCUUUAUUUUGUCUGAUGAAUAAGGGUUUUAUAUGUGUGUGUGUAUCAGGAUUUGGGAGUAACUAAAUUCAUGUAAUCCAGUUACAUGUAAUAUGAUGGUUUUUUUAUUAUUAUUUUUUUAAACCUGUAAUCAAUUACGUUGACACCAAC
ensembl:lncRNA